CAUGUAAGCGCAAGAUGCUUACGUGGAAGGAAAUCGCUCCCUCAAGGACGCGAUUUCCUUCCACGUAAGCAUCUCGCGCUUAUGUGG
rfam:Gossypium raimondii Chr13_contig_689, whole genome shotgun sequence.